rnacentral:rRNA from 1 species
UACGGAGGGGGCUAGCGUUGUUCGGAAUUACUGGGCGUAAAGCGCACGUAGGCGGCUUUGCAAGUUAGAGGUGAAAGCCCGGGGCCUCAACUCCGGAAUUGCCUUUAAAACUGCAUCGCUAGAAUUGUGGAGAGGUAAGUGGGAAUUCCGAGUGUAGAGGUGAAAUUCGUAGAUAUUCGGAAGAACACCAGUGGCGAAGGCGACUUACUGGACACAUAUUGACGCUGAGGUGCGAAAGCGUGGGGAGCAAACAGG